CUGGGAUCCUUUCCAAACUUGAGAUACUCUGAUUAACGUCGCCAUUUUUUACAGAUGAGGAAACUUGGGCUUGGCAUGGUUAAAUGGCUUUGCACAGACCCUACAUCAGUGAAGUGGCAGAGAUGAGCCGAGGACCUAUGUUUGUCUCCUAGCCACAUCAAGACUUAAGAAUCAGUACCUCUCUUCCAUGAACUAUUGAGUACUAGAGUUGUGGACCCAGCUAACACCCCAGAGGAAUAGGCUACUUCAUUUAGGAAUGGACAUUUCCAGUGGCCAAGGCAGAUUUGGAAUGAAAAGACUAGUACUGAUUGAAAAGGAUGGCUUCCAUUGCAGACUUCACUAAAAUGUUCUACUGGUAUCCAAAGGGGUAUUGGGAGGACCAAAUAACUUCUUCGGAAAUAUUAAGGCAUCAUAUAAUCAUCAGUUUGGAAGUCUGUGGGACAUAG
rnacentral:lncRNA from 1 species